ACCUCCAGCAGCAAAGAAACAGUUAACAUAACUUUUCAGAACAACCAAUCAGAACAGUUCUGAUUGGUUGUUCUGAAAAGUUAUGUUAACUGUUUCUUUGCUGCUGGAGGU